AUGCAGCGCCCCGUGAGGACAGGGGCCGUGGGCCGUCUGCUUCCCCACUGUAGUCCACUAUACCUUGGAGAACAAGACAAACAGGCAGCAGAUGGGUGGGAGCACUGUUUCAGGUUCUACGGACACAGUGCCUAGCAGGUCAGCUUUGGAUUCAACUCUCACACUGCCAUCACUCCAGAAAACUGAAGACUAAUGGCUUUCAACUCCAGCCCUUUCCAAUUGACUAUACUAUCCUGUCUUCAAAUCUGGACUCUGGCAUGAGACGGCAAUAUGGGAGGGAGGUGGCCUGGCUCAGAAGCAGGAAUAGAACCAGAAGCGGGCUUCUGUAAGCAAUCCUGGCCAUGCUCUUUGACCCUGUCUUGGCAUUCACCUCUCAUCAGACCGACUGGAUCUGUCUGAGAGGAAGAACAGCUCAAACAUCUAUUUCCUUUCUCAGAACACAAAGUUGGCUUUAUGUAGACAAGAGCUUCUCAUUUUAAAAUUAAAGCCCUGUCUUUAGCACAGUA